AGAGUUUGAUCAUGGCUCAGGACGAACGCUGGCGGCGUGCCUAACACACGCAAGUCGAACGAGGUCCAAGGAAGCUUGCUUCCUGAAGACCUAGUGGCGAACGGGUGAGUAACACGUGAGAAACCUGCCUCGGAGUGGGGAAUAACUCGGGGAAACUCGAGCUAAUACCGCAUACCUUCACAUGAUCGCAUGGUCGAGUGAAGAAAGAAUUUCGCUCUGAGAGGGUCUCGCGGCCUAUCAGCUUGUUGGUGGGGUAAACGGCCUACCAAGGCAACGACGGGUAGCUGGUUUGAGAGAACGAUCAGCCACACUGGGACUGAGACACGGCCCAGACUCCUACGGGAGGCAGCAGUGGGAAUCUUGCGCAAUGGGCGAAAGCCUGACGCAGCAACGCCGCGUGCGGGAUGACGGCCUUCGUGGUUGUAAACCGCUUUCAGCAGGGACGAAAAUGACGGUACCUGCAGAAGAAGCCCCGGCUAACUACGUG
rnacentral:rRNA from 1 species